GAGACAUUGCUUUCUGUUCUCUGGGACAUCAGGAAUGCUGGUGUUUCUCUUCGGCAAGAGGACGGCUUUCAUCUGGAGGAUCCUGGGAACUGCGCAGCUGAUCGUGUUUCAUCUUGGCACUGGCUGCUAGAAGUUUGAGAGCCAGAUCUGUGGCCCACCCCUUGCAAAUGGAUCAAAGUUUAUAGACCAGUGAUGCUGUGUGACUUUGAAGAUGGGUCACAGAAGAUGAGGCAGCUUCUGCCUGUCCCCCGUAACAGCUGUGAAUAUGUAAGCAGUCCAGACACCUUGAAGUCACCAUGCUGUGAGGAAGCCAAGCCACAUGGAGACACCCCACAGAGGUGCUCUGGCCAUCAGGCUUGGCCCCUGUGCCAGGCAUGUGAAUGAGGAGCCUUUCGAUGAUUCCGGUUCCCAGCUACCCAGCCACUCCCACCCUUCCAGUCUACCCAGCUGAAGCCCCAGGCAGCAUGGAGCAGAGACAAGCCACCCUUACCAUGCCUUUUCUGGUUUUCAAAUUCUGUGAGCAUAACAUAGGCUUGUUCUAAGCUGCGAAGUUGUGGGGUCAUUUACUACCUGGCCGUAGUAACUGGAACAAUAGCCUCCUCUGAGGUCUCAGGACAUCUAGCAUCCUCCUCCAUAGCACUCAUGGCAGUGGCAGUUAAUGAACUAACUACUCGGGCAAUUCCCUCUUUAAUGACUGUCCUCCCCAUUCAACUAGAAGUUCCAGGAAGGCCAGGAGUCAGCCAGAGAGAUGCUCAGUGAAUAUUUAAUGAGUGACUGAUCUUAAUGCUGUCCUCAAAUUGACCCCUAAACUUGACCUCAGAAUGACUCUGGCUCUGGAUUCAGACUGACUCUAACCUGGCCACAGACCAAGUCCUGAUUCUGGCAUCAAAGACGAAACCCUGGCCAUAGGCUAAACACUAAGCCCAACUUCAAACUGACCCCUAAAUUUGACCUCAGAAUGACCUCUGACCUUGACCUCAGGCUGAGUCCUGUGCUCACCAUGGCAGGGAUGAGCUGGCCAACCUCUUCUGGAUCAUGCUCUGCUCCCACCUCCAUCUUCUCAACACAUGGCCCUUCUUUGAGGUGCUUGAAGGAGUAAAGCUCUUUUGGGCAUGAGCACCUUGCCUUCUCUCUGGCCUCAGCUCUCGAAUGAUUCAUGUGAGUGGCCUUCAGGAGCAGCGCUUCAAACAGAGAAGAAACAAAUGAAGAAGCAGAGAAAUCGGCAGCAGGAGACAGGCGGACACAUCCAUCUCCUCCUGCCCUCUGUCCUCACUGCCGUCCCCCUGAGGGUUGCAGGCAGUCAAAAGUUCACGCUCCACGUUUUCUGGAAAAGGGAGGGAAAUCUCUGUGUGGGGGAUAAAAAAAAAGUCCCCAAGCUCAAAUCACGCACACAGAGCAACAAGCCAUAAAACGGAACACCAUUGGGAGAAGAUGGGGUCACAUGGUGGGAAUCUGGAUUGCAGGGGGGGGGCGGCACUUGAGAAAAUGCAGUCUCCUCAAUGGGAACCAUAUGGGCUACGUGCUCUUAAAUAGAAUCCCAGACUCGCAGCGCUGGGCGGGAGCAGGCUGGGGGUGCUCUCCCCUCGGCCCCUUUGUGUGAAGAGGGGACAUUAGGUGGGGGUGGGGUUUCCCUAUCCCCCACCCCCGAAAGCCCCGAGGCUGCGACGGAGCAGCUUCCAGACCCCAGGCUCCUGGCUCUGGGUCAGUGCUCCUCUCACCCUGCCACGCUGUCUCAGCCCUUUGCCAGGAUCUCCAAAUUAGAAGCAUAUCGAGAAGCAGAACUGUCACCCCCCCUUUUCUGUUCUUUCUUCUAAUUCUUUCUCUUUACAGCGUAAUUUUAAAGGUGCCAGGAAGUCCUCCUUGUUCCAAAAACCCCCGUCCCAGCCCCCGCCCCAUCAAGAGAACACACUAGGAGGCCUAUGAGGGGCGCUGUGCUGGGUGCUUUAUGGCUGCUUGUUUAUGUGAUUGUCCCCACGCCCUGUGACACAGGGGUUGGUCUAUCAGUUCAGUAUCCCAUUGGAUGGGAAGUAGGAUCGGAGGUGAUGCUGGGGAGAUGGGGGUCAGAUGCUGUCAUUUUGUUUAUUGACCACUUCAGAUUUAGUAUCUAAACCAGAGACCUUGUAGCAACAAAAGCGUGAGGUACAGCUGGAAGAUCAGGGAAAUGUCUUGUGAUAUUGAGAUCCUCCACCUUUCCCAGCCGUGCCCAUCACCCACCUACAAAAACCAUGGAGAACAUGAGGGUGGACAUGCAUUUCAUUUUCUCACUGACCCCCUCCUCCCAGUAAAAAGACCUCACUGGUCUCUUUCCCAGCUCCCCUGGGAAACAGAUUCUAGUAGUAACUUCCCUGGGUCACUGCCUGGGGCUUCGUAGGCCAUUCACUACACAGCUACCGGGCACCAUCAUCAGAGGGGAGGUUACUAUUGACUAUGAUGUGAAUGACAGCUGGCCUUCCUCCCGGGUGUGUCCCAUGCCCACCCAGGCAUGAGGUGGGGCUCUGGCCCUUUCAGGGCGCACAGAGGAAUCCCUGAGCAUCUGGA